rnacentral:rRNA from 1 species
GUGUCAGCAGCCGCGGUAAUACAGAGGCCUCAAGCGUUGUUCGGAAUCACUGGGCGUAAAGGGUGCGUAGGCGGCGCGGAAAGUCAGGGGUGAAAUCCCGGAGCUCAACUCCGGAACUGCCCUUGAUACUCCCGCGCUUGAGAACUGGAGGGGACAUCGGAAUUCACGGUGGAGCAGUGAAAUGCGUGGAUAUCGUGAGGAACACUAGUGGCGAAGGCGGAUGUCUGGACAGUAUCUGACGCUGAGGCACGAAGGCCAGGGGAGCGAACGGGAUUAGAUACCCCUGUAGUCC